rnacentral:lncRNA from 1 species
UGAUAGUGUUAUUAGUGUUCUUGUUAUCAAGAAACGUUUGACGCUGACCCUUUAGCAAAUUCUCUCAAAAAUGAAAGGCAUUGCCAUGGGGAAUUCUCCAUGGCUUCUAUUCAGUCAAAUAAGGAUGUGGAAGAUCACAACCAAGUCGAUGUAUGUCAUGACGCACUGUUCAUUUGAAUUUGUGAUGGCUUCAAAGGCCACACCACUACUUCCUAUAUUCGUACGCACAUCUUUAGGACUCUAUUACGUGAGUUAUUUCUUUGCUUCUUUUUUCUUAGCAUACUACUAUGUAUAUUGUUAUCAAGAAAUGAGAAGAUUGAUAGUGUUAUUAGUGUUCUUGUUUUGCUAAAUUUUGUAUGUUGUUAUCAAAAAAUAAGAAGAUUGAUAGGGUUAUUAGUGUUCUUGUUUUGCUAAAUUUUGUAUAUUGUUAUCAAGAAAUAAGAAGAUUGAUAGUGUUAUUAGUGUUCUUGUUUUGCUAAAUAUUGUAUAUUGUUAUCAAGAAAUGAGAAGCUUGAUAGUGUUAUUAGUCGUCUUGUUUUGCUAAAUUUUGUAUAUUAUUAUCAAGAAAUGAGUAGAUUGAUAGUGUAUUAGUGUUCUUGUUUUGCUAAAUUUGUAUAUGUUAUCAAGAAAUGAGAAGAUUGAUAUGUUAUUAGUGUUCUUGUUUUGCUAAAUUUGUAUAUUGUUAUCAAGAAAUGAGAAGAUUGAUAGUGUUUAUUAGUGUUCUUGUUUUGCUAAUUGUAUAUUGUUAUCGAAGAUGAAAGAUUGAUAUGUUAUUAGUGUUCUUGUUUUGCUAAAUUUUGUAUAUUGUUAUCAAGAAAUGAGAAAGAUUGAUAGUGUUAUUAGUGUUCUUGUUUGCUAAAUUUUGUAUAUUGUUAUCAAGAAAUGAGAAGAUUGAUAGUGUUAUUAGUGUUCUUGUUUUGCUAAAUUUGUUAUAUGUUAUCAAGAAAUGAGAAGAGUAUAGUGUUAUUAGUGUUCUUGUUUGCUAAAUUUUGUAUAUUGUUUCAAGAAAUAGAAGAUUGAUAGUGUAUUAUGUUCUUGUUUUGCUAAAUUUUGUAUAUUGUUAUCAAGAAAUGAGAAGAUUGAUAGUGUUAUUAGUGUUCUGUUUUUGCUAAUAUUGUAUAUUGUUAUCAAGAAAUGAGAGAAGAUUGAUAGUGUUAUUAGUUUCUGUUUUGCUAAAUUUUGUAUAUUGUUAUCAAAGAAUGAGAAGAUUGAUAGUUUAUAUGUUCUUGUUUUGCUAAAAUUUGUAUAUUGUUAUCAAGAAAUGAGAAAGAUUGAUAGUGUUAUUGUGUUCUUUUUUUCUAAAUUUUGUAUAUUUUUAUCAGAAAUGAGAAGAUGAUAGGUUAUUAUGUUCUGUUUUGCUAAAUUUGUAUAUUAUACAAGAAAUGAGAGAUUGUAGUGUAUUAGUGUUCUUGUUUUCUAAAUUUUGUAUAUUGUAUCAAGAAAUGAGAAGAUUGAUAGUGUUAUUAGUGUUCUUGUUUUGCAAAAUUUGUAUAUGUUAUCAAGAAAUGAGAGGAUUGAUAGUGUUAUUAGUGUUCUUUUUGCUAAAUUUUGUAUAUUUAUACAGAAAUGAGAAGAUUGAUAGUGUUAUUAGUGUUCUUGUUUUGCUAAAUUUUGUAUAUUGUUAUCAAGAAAUGAGAAGAUUGAUAGUGUUAUUAGUGUUUUGUUUUGCUAAAUUUUGAUAUUGUUAUCAAGAAAUAGAAAGAUUGAUAGUGUUAUUAGUGUUCUUGUUUUGCUAAAUUUGUAUAUUGUUAUCAAAAUGAGAAGAUUGAUAGUGUUAUUAGUGUUUUGUUUUGCUAAAUUUUAUAUUGUUAUCAAGAAAUGAGAAGAUUGAUAGGUUAUUAGGUUUCGUUUUGCUAAAUUUUGUAUAUGUUAUCAAGAAAUGAGAAGAUUGAUAGGGUUAUUAUGUUCUUUUGUUUUGCUAAAUUUUGUAUAUUUAUCAAGAAAUAAGAAGAUUGAUAGUGUUAUUAGUGUUCUUGUUUUGCUAAAUUUUGUAUAUUGUUAUCAAGAAAUGAGAAGUUUGAUAGUGUUAUUAGUGUCUUGUUUUGCUAAAUUUGUAUAUUUUAUCAAGAAAUGAGAAGUUGAUAGUGUUAUUAGUGUUCUUGUUUUGUAAAUUUGUAUAUGUUAUCAAGAAAUGAGAAGAUUGAUAGUGUUAUUAGUGUUCUUGUUUUGCUAAAAUUUGUAUAUGUUAUCAGAAAUGAGAAGAUUGAUAUUGUUAUUAGUGUUCUUGUUUUGCUAAAUUUGUAUAUUGUUAUCAAGAAAUGAGAAGAUUGAUAGUGUUAUUAGUGUUCUUGUUUGCUAAAUUUUGUAUAUUGUUAUCAAGAAAUGAGAAGAUUGAUAGUGUUAUUAGUGUUCUUGUUUUGCUAAAUUUUGUUUAUUGUUUAUCAAGAAAUGAGAAGAUUGAUAGUGUUAUUAGUGUUCUUGUUUUGCUAAAUUUUAUAUUGUUAUCAAGAAAUAGAAGAUUGAUAGUGAUUAGUGUUUUUUUUGCUAAAUUUUGUAUAUUGUUAUCAAGAAAUGAGAAGAUUGAUAGUGUUAUUAGUGUUCUGUUUUUCUAAAUUUUAUAUUGUUAUCAAGAAAUGAGAAGAUUGAUAGUGUUAUUAGUUCUUGUUUUGCUAAAUUUUGUAUAUUGUUAUCAAGAAAUGAGAAGAUUGAUAGUUAUUAGUGUUCUUGUUUUGCUAAAUUUUGUAUAUUGUUAUCAAGAAAUGAGAAGAUUGAUAGUGUUAUUAGUGUUCUUUUUUCUAAAUUUUGUAUAUUUUAUCAGAAAAGAGAAGAUUGAUAGUGUUAUUAUGUUCUUGUUUUGUAAAUUGUAUAUUUUAUCAAGAAAUGAGAAGAUUGAUAGUGUUAUUAGUGUUCUUGUUUUCUAAAUUUGUAUAUUGUUAUCAAGAAAUGAGAAGAUUGAAUAUGUUAUUAGUUCUUGUUUGCAAAAUUUGUAUAUUGUUAUCAAGAAAUGAGAGAUUGAUAUGUUAUUAUGUUCUUUUUUGCAAAUUUGUAUAUUAACAAGAACAUGAGAAGAUUGAUAGUGUUAUUAGUGUUCUUGUUUUGCUAAAUUAUGUAUAUUGUUAUCAAGAAAUGAGAAGAUUGAUAUUGUUAUUAGUGUUCUUGUUUUGCUAAAUUUUAUAAAUUGUUAUCAAGAAAUGAGAAGAUUGAUAGUGUUAUUAGUGUUCUUGUUUAUGUAUAUUGUUAUCAAGAAAUAAGAAGAUUGAUAUUGUUAUUAGUGUUCUUGUUUUGCUAAAUUUUGUAUAUUGUUAUCAAGAAACGAGAAGAAUGAUUGUUUUAUUAGUCUUCUUGUUUUGCUAAAUUUUGUAUAUUGUUAUCAAGAAAUGAGAAGAUUAAUAGGGUUAUUAGUGCUCUUGUUUUGCAAAAUUUUGUAUAUUGUUAUCAAGAAAUGAGAAGAUUGAUAGUGUUAUUAGUGUUCUAGUUUUGCUAAAUUUUGUAUAUUUUUAUCAAGUAAUGAGAAGGUUGAUAGUGUUAUUAGUGUUCUUGUUUUGCUAAAUAUUGUAUAUUGUUAUCAAGAAAUGAGAAGAUUGAUAAUGUUAUUAGUGUUCUUGUUAUCAAGAAACGUUUGACGCUGACCCUUUAGCAAAAUCUCUCAAACAUGAAAGGCAUUGCCAUGGGGAAUUCUCCAUGGCUUCUAUUCAGUCAAAUAAGGAUAUGGAAUAUCACAACAAAGUCGAUGUAAGUCAUGAUGCACUGUUCGUUUGAAUUUAUGAUGGCUUCAAAGGCCACACCACAGCUUCCUAUAUUCGUACGCACAUUAUUAGGACUCUAUUACGUGAGUUAUUUCUUUGCUUCUUUUUUCUUAGCAUACUAAUAUGUAUAUUGUUAUCAAGAAAUGAGAAGAUUGAUAGUGUUAUUAGUGUUCUUGUUUUGCUAAAUUUUGUAUAAAGACCCGAAAUAUUAGAAGAACUCUGAUGAGGAUUCGAUUAGCUUUCUGUGGUUUAUGCUAAAAUUUUUUAUAUUGUUAUCCAAGAAAUGAAAAGAUUGAUAGUGUUAUUAAGUGUUCCUUGUUAUGAAAUUUUUAUAUUGGUUAUCAAAGAAUUGAGAAGAUUGAUAGUGUUAAUUUAUGUUGUUCUUGUUUGCCCUAAAAUUUGUAAUAAGUGUUAUCAAGAAAGGUAAGAUUGAUAGUGUUAAGUGUACUUUGCGUUUUGCGAAACUACUUGUAUGUCGUUGACUAUCCAGAAGUAAGUUGGGGAUAGAUAAAGAUUGAUAGUGCCCCUAUUAGUCGUUUUUGUUUUGCCUAAAUUUUGUAUAUUGUUAAACAAGAAAUGAGGAAAAGAUUGAUGAGAGCACACGCUAGUUUUUUAGUGAUUCUUGUUUUUGCUAAAUUUGUAUAUGGUUAAUCAAAUUGUAGAAGAUUGAUAGUGUUAUUAGUGUUCUUAGUUUUAGCUUAAAAUUUGGUACUAUUGUAUGAAGUAUAAUUGAGAAGAUGGGAUAGUGUAUAUUAGUUUUUCUUAGGGAGUUUUGCCCUAAAUUUUUUUAUGUAUUGCUUAAAACAAACACUUAGAAAUUCGAAUCUGUUAUUAGUUGUUCUUGUUUUGCUAAUUUUUUAUAUUAGUAUAUCACAGAAAUGGAAAAAGAUUGAUAGUGUUAUUAGUGUACUUCUUGUUAUGCUAAAUUUUGCUAUAAAUUGUUAUCAGAAAAUGAGAAGAUUGAUAGUGUUAUUAGUGUCUUGUUUUGCUAAUUUUGUAUAUUCUGUUAUCAAGAAAUGAGAAGAUUGAUAGUGUUAUUAGUGUUCUUGUUUUGUCUAAAUUUUGUAUAUUGUUAUCAAGAAAUGAGAAGAUUGAUAGUGUUAUUUAGUGUUCUUUUUUUUGCUAAAUUUUGUAUAUUGUUAUACAAGAAAUGAGAAGAUUGAUAGUUUAUUAGUGUUCUUGUUUGCUAAAUUUUGUAUAUGUUAUCAAGAAAAUGAGAAGAUGAUAGAUGUUAUUAUGUUCUUGUUUUGCUCUAAAUUUUGUAUAUUCUUAUCAAGAAAUGAGAAAUUGAUAGUGUUAUUAGGUGUUCUGUUUUGCUAAAUUUGUAUAUUUGUUAUCAAGAAAAUGAGGAGAUCAGUAGAGAUUGAGUGCUUAUUAAGUGUGUUGUUUUGCUAAAUUUUGUAUAUUAUUCCAAGAAAGGAGAAGAUGGAUAGUGUUAUUAGUGUUCUUGUUUGCUAAUUCUGUAUUUGUUAUGCAAGAACGAUGAAAGCAUUGAUAGUGUUAUUAGUGUUCUUUGCUAAAUUUUGUGAAUUGUUAUCAGAAAUGAGAAGAUGAUUGAUAGUAGUUAUUAGUGUUCUUGUUUGGCUAAAUUUUGUAUUAUUGUUAUCAAGAAAUGAGAAGUUGAUAGUGUUAUUAGUGUUCUUGUUUUGCUAAAUUUUGUAUAUUGUUAUAAGAAAUGGAGAAGUGAUAGUGUUAUUUAGUGUUCUUGUUUGCUAAUUUUUGUAAUUUAUAUCAAGAAAUGAGAAGACUUGAUAGUGUUUUAGUGUCUUGUUUGCUAAAUUUUGUAUAUUUUAUCAAGAAAUGAGAAGAUUGAUAGUGUUAUUAGUGUUCUUGUUUUGCUAAAUUUUGUAUAUUGUUAUCAAGAAUGAGAAGAUUGAUAGUGUUGUUAUUGUUCUUGUUUGCUAAAUUUUUGUUAUAUUUACAAGAAAAUGAGAAGAGAUGAUAGUGUAUAUUAGUAGUUCUAUUGUGUUUGGCUAAAUUUUGUGUAUAGAAUUUGUGUAAACAAAGAAUAUAGAAGAUUGAUAUAGUGUCUAUUAGUGUUCUUCUUGUUUUUGGCUAAUGUUGUAUAUGUUGCAAAAAGAAAGGAGAAGAUGAUAAGGUGUUAUUACGUGUUCUUUGUUUUUGCUAAAUUUGUAUAUUGUUUCAAGAAAUGAGAAGUUGAUAGCUGUGUAUUAGUGUUUUUGUUUUUGCUAAAUUUUUGUAUAUUGUUAUCAAACAGUGAGAAGAUUGAUAGUGUUAUUAGUGUUUCUUGUUUUUGCUAAAUUUGUUAUAUUGUUAUCAAGAACAUGAGAAGAUUGAAUAGUGUUUUAGUGUUCUUGUUUUGCUAAAUUUUGUAUAUUGUUAUCAAGAAAUGGAGAAGAUUGAUAGUGUUUAGUGGUUCCUUGUUUUGCUAAAUUUUUGUAUAUUGUUAUCAAGAAAUGAGAAGAUUGAUAGUGUUAUUAGUGUUCUUGUUUUGCUAAAUUUUGUAUAUUUGUAUCAAAAAAUGAGAAGAUAUUGAUAGUGAUUAUUAGAAGUGUUCUUGUUUUGGCUAAUAUUUUGUAUUGGAUUUAUCAAGAAAUGAGAAGAUUGAUAGUGUUAUUUAGUGUUUUGGUAUUGCUAAAUUUUGUAUAUUGUUUGUCAAGAAAUGAGAAGAUUGAUAAUGUGUAUUAGUGUGUCUUGUUAGUCUGGGCAGCAAUUUGUAUAUAUUGUUAUACAAAGAAAUGGCAGAGUUGAUGCUAGUUGAUUUAUUAGUGUUUCUUGUUUUGCUAAUUUUUGUAUAUUGGUUUGCAAGAAAGAUGAAGGAUUGAUAGUCUUAUUGUGUGUGCUUGGUUUUGCAGUAAAUGGCGUUAUACGCUUGCCUUUACAAGACCCUAAAAUGAAGAGGAGUCUGCAUAGUGGAUAGUUCUUCGUAUGGGCUUACUAUUGUAAGAAUGCAGCAAAUGAUUAGUGUUAUAGUUGUUGUUUAAAAUUUGUAUAGUGCUACCAAGAAAUGAAGAUAGAAACGCAUAGUUAGCUGUUCUUUUUGCAUUGUGUAUGAUUGGCUUAACGCCAAGCAUAUGCAAUCGACAGGAUUUUAAGUUAUAAGUGUUAUUUUAGUGUUUUGCAUCUUUUCGUAAAUUUUGUAUAUUGUUAUCAAGAAAUGAGAAGAUUGAUUAUGUUAUUAGUGUUCUUGUUUGCUAAAUUUUUGUAUAUUUGUUUACAAGAAAUGAGAGAUUGAUAGUGUUAUUAGAUGUUCUUGUUUUGCUAAAUUUUGUAUAUUGUUAUGCAAGAAUAGAAAGAUUGAAGUCUGUUAUUAGUGUCUUGUUUUGUCCUAAAUUUGUAUAUUGUUAUCAAGAAAUGAGAAGUCUGAUAGUGUUAUUAGUGUCUUCGUUUUCCCUAAAUUUGUAUAUUGUUAUCAGAAUGAGAGAUUGAUAGGUUAUUAGUGUUCUUGAUUUUGCUAAAUUUUGUAUAUGGGUUAUCAAGAAAUGAAGAUUUGAUUAGUGUUUAUUAGUUUCUUGUUUUGCUAAUUUGUAUAUUGUUAUCAAGAAUGAGAAGAUUGAAUAGUGUUAUUAGUGUUCCUUGUUUUGCUAAAUUUGUUAUAUUGUUAUCAAGAAAUAGAAGAAGAUUGAUAGUGUUUAUUAGUGUUUUUUGUUGCUAAAUGUUUGUAUAUUGUUAUCAAAAAUGAGAAGAAUUGAUGAGUUUUAGUGUUCUGUUUUGCUAAAUUUUGAUAUUGUAUAUCAAGAUAUGAGAAGAUUGAUAGUGUUAUUAGUCGCAUUUUGUCUUUGCCAUAAAUUUUGUAUAUUUUUCGACUCUUUUGGAUUACUAGUGAGUUAUUUGCUUUUCUUUUUUCUGGCAUAAUAAUUUGUGUAUUUGUUAUGUCAGAAAUGAGAAGCUGAAUAGUGAUUAUUAGUGUUCUUGUUUUGCCCCUAAAUUUUUGUAUAAUUGUUAUCAAGAAACUGAGAAGAUUGAUAGUGUUUGAUUAGUGUUCUUUUUUGUUGUCUAAUUUUGUAUAUUGUUAUCAAAGAAAUGAGAAGAUUGAUAUGUGUUAUUAAGUGUUUCUUGUUUUGCUAAAUUUUGUAUUUGUUAUCAAGAAAUGUAUUAAGAUUGAUAUAUGUUAAUUCAGUGUUCUUAGUUAGCACUUAAAUUUUGAUAUAAUGUAUAUCAAGAUAAUAUGAGAUAGAUAGUGUUAUUUAGUGUUCUGUUUAGGGCUUAAAUUUUUGUAUAUUGUUAUUAAGUAAAUGGAGGAAGAUCGAUUUGUGUAUUAUUAUGAUUCUUGUUUAUUGCUAAUUUUGUCAAUUGUAUGCCAGGAAAGGAAGAAGAUGAUAGUGUUAUUGUGUCCUGUUUGCUUCACUUGUGUAAUAUUGUUUCGCUCCAGAAUGAGAAGAUUGAUAGUGUUUAUAGUGUUCUUUUAUGUUUUCUAACAUUUGUAUAUUGUUUUUCAAGAAAUGAGAAGAUGAUGAUAGUGUUUAUUAGCUGUUCUUGGGUUUUGCUAAUAUUUUGUAUAGGCUUGUAUCAAAAGAGACUUGUUUCGACAAGAUAUAAUCAGUGUUUUUUUUAUUUUGUGUUCUUGUUUUGCUAAAUUUUGUAUACUUGUUAUCAAAGAAAUGAGAAGUGAAGAUGUUAAUUAGUGUUCUUGUUUUACUAAUUUAUUGUAUAUUUGUUAUCAAGAUAAUGAGAAGAUUGAUAGUUGUUAUUUAGUGUUUCUUGUUUUGCUAAAUUUUGUAUAUUGUUAUCAAGAGAAUGCAGAAAAGAUUGAUAGUGUUAUUAGUGUUCUUGUUUUGCCUAAAAAUUAAUUGUUUAUCAAGAAAUGAGAAGAAUUGAUAGUGUUAUUAGUGUUCUGUUUGCUAAAUUUGUAAUAUUGUUACAGAAAUGCGAAGAUUGAUAGUGUUAUUUAGUGUUCUUGUUUUGCUAAAUUUUGUAUGAUUAUAUCAAGAAAUGAGAAGGUUGAUAGUGUUAUUAGUGUUCUUGUUUUGCUUAAUUUUGUUAUAUUGUUAUUCAAGAAAUGAGAAGAUGAUAGUGUUAUUAGUGUGUUUCUUGUUACAAGAAACUUUGAACGCUGACCCUUUAAAAAUUCUCUCAAAAAAUGAAAAGGCAUUGCCAUGGGGAAUUCUCCAUGGCUUCUGUUCAGUCAAAUAAGGAUAUGGAAGAUCACAACAGGAAAUGUAAGUUCAUGACGCACUGUUUUUUAGAAUUAUGAUGGUUCAAAGGCCACACACUCGCUUCCUAUAUAUCCGUAACGCACAUCUUUAGGAUCUUAUUACGUGAAUUAUUUUUUUGCCUUCUUUUUUCUUAGCAUCUUACCUGUAAUUCUAUAUAUAUGACAUGCCUGAAAGGAUUGAAGGUGUUAUUAGGUUCUUGUUUUCUAAAUUUUGUAUAUUGUGUUUAUCAAGAAAUGAGAAGAUUGAUAGGUGGUUAUUAGUGUUCUUUGUUUUGCUAAAUUUUGUAUAUUGUUUAAUCAGAAAUGAGAAGAUCGAUAGUGUUAUUAAGUGUUUUUGUUUUGCUAAAUUUUGUUAUAUUGCUUAUCAAGAAAUAGAAGAUGAUAGUUUUUAUUAGUGUUCUUGUUUUGCUAAAUUUUUUUAUAUUGUUUCAAGAAAUGAAGAUGAUUGAUAGUGUUAUUAGUGUUCUUGUUUGCUAAAUUUUGUAUAUUGUUUUAUCAAGAAAUGAGAAGAUUUGAUAGUGUAUUAGUGUUCUUGUUUGCUAAAUUAUGUAUAUUGUUAUCAAGAAAUAGAAGAUUGAUAUGUUAUAGUGUUCUUGUUUUGCUAAUAUUUUGUAUAUUGUUAUCAAGAAAUGAGAAGAUUGAUAGUUUAUAUAAGUGUUUUUUGUUUUGCUAAAUUUGUAUAUUGUUACAUAGAAAUGAGAAGAUUGAUAGUGUUAUUUAGUGUUCUUGUUUUGCUAAAUUUUUGUAUAUUGUUAUCAAGAAAUGAGAAGAUGAUAGUGUUAUAGUGUUCUUGUUUUGCUAAAUUUUGUAUAUUUUAUCAAGAAAUGAGAAGAUUGAAGUGUUAUUAGUGUUCUUGUUUUGGCUAAAAUUUUGUAUAUUGUUUACUCAAGAAAUGAGAAGAUAUGAUUGUGUUAUUAGUUCUUGUUUUGCUAUUUUGUUAUUAUUAUCAAGAAAGGUAGAGAUUGAUAGUUGUAUUAGUUUCUUGUUUUGCUAAAUUGUGUAUAUUGUUAUCAAGAAAUGAGAAGAUUGAUAGGUUAUUGUGUUCUUGUUUGCUAAAUUUUGUAAUUGUUAUCGAAGAAAUGAUAGAGAAGAUUGAUAGUGUUAUUAGUGUUCUUUUUUGCAAUUUUGUAUUAUGUUAUCAAGAAAUGAGAGAUUGAUAGUGUUAUUAGUGUUCUUGUUUGCUAAAUUUUGUAUAUUGUUAUCAAGAAAUAGAAGGUGUAGUGUUAUUUAGUGUUCUUGUUUUGCUAAUUUUGUAUAUUUUAUCAAGAAAUGAGAAGAUUGAUAGUGUUAUUAUAAGUUCUUGUUUUGCUAAAUUUUAGUAUAUAUUUUAUCAGAAAUGAGAAGAUUGAUAGUGUAUAUUAGUGUUCUUGUUUUCUAAAUUUAUGAUUAUAUUGUUUCAAGAAUUGAGAAGAUUGAUAUGUAUUAGUGUUCUUGUUUGCUAAAUUUUGUAUAUGUUAUCAAGAAAUGAGAAGAUUGAUAGUGUUAUUAGUGUUCUUGUUUUGCUAAAUUUGUAUAUGUUUCAAGAAAUGAGAAGAUUGAUAAUGUUAUUAGUUGUUCUGUUUUCUAAAUUUUUGUAUAUUUUAUCAAGAAAUAGAGAUUGAUAGUGUUUUGUUGUUCUUGUUUUGCUAAAUUUUGUAUAUUGUUAUCAGAAUGAGAAGAUUGAUAGUGUUAUUAGUGUUCUUGUUUUGCUAAAUUUGUAUUAUUGUUAUCAAGAAAUGAGAAGAUUGAUAGUGUUAUUAGUGUUCUUGUUUUGCUAAAUUUUGUAUAUUGUUAUCAAGAAUGAGAGAUGAUAGUAUGUUAUUAGUGUUCUUGUUUGCUAAAUUUUUGUAUAUUUUUAUCAAGAAAUGAGAAGAUUGAUAGUGUUAUUAGUGUUCUUGUUUUGCUAAUUUUUGUAUAUUGUUCAGAAAUGAGAAGAUUGAUAGUGUUAUUAGUGUUCUUGUUUUGCUAAAUUUUGUAUUGUUAUCAAGAAAUGAGAAGAUUGAUAGUUGUUUUUAGUGUUCUUGUUUGCUAAAUUUGUAUAUUGUUUCAGAAAUGAGAAGAUUGAUAGUGUUAUUAGUGUUUUGUUUUGCUAAAAUUUUGUAUAUUGUUAUCAAGAAAUGAGAAGAUUGAUAUGUAAUUAGUGUCUUGUUUGCUAAAUUUUGUAUAUUCGUUAUCGAAAAUGAGAAGAUUGAUAGUGUUAUUAGUGUUUCUUGUUUUGCUAAAUUUUGUAUAUUGUUAUCAAGAAUGAGAAGAUUGAUAGUGUUAUUAGUGUUCUUGUUUGCUAAAUUUUGUAUAUUGUUUAUCAAGAAAUGAGAAGAUUGAUAGUGUUAUUAGUGUUCUUGUUUGCUAAAUUUUGUAUAUUUUUUCAAGAAAUGAGAAGAUUGAUAGUGUUAUUAGUGUUCUUGUUUGUAAUUUUGUAUAUUGUUACAAAGAAAUGAGAAGAUUGAUAGUGUUAUUAGUGUUUCUUGUUUUGCUAAAUUUUGUAUAUUGUUUAAGAAAUGAGAAGAUUGAUAGUGUUAUUAGUGUUCUUGUUUUGCUAAAUUUUGUAUAUGUUAUCAAGAAAUAGAAGAAGGAUAGUGUUUAUUACGUGUUCUUGGUUUAGUAAACUUUGUGUAUAUUCUGGUUAUUAGAAAUGAAAGAUGAUUGUGUGUAUUAGUGUUCUUGGUUUUGCUAUUUGUAUAUAUGUUGGCAAGAAAGUGAGAAGAUCGAUAGGUGCUUAUUAAGUCGUUUCUUGUUUUCUAAUUUGAUAUUAGUUCUCAAGAAAAUGCAAAGAUUGAUUAGUUGUAGUUAUGUCUUCUGUUUUGCCACUAAAUUUUGUAUAUUGUUAUCAAGAAAUGAGAAGAUUGAAUAGUGUUAUUAGUGUUUGUUUCUGCUAGAUUUUCUGGUAUAUGUGUUUAUCAAGAAAUGAGAAAGAUUGAUAGUGUUAUUAGUGUUCUUGUUUUGCUUAAAUUUUGUAUAUUGUUAUCAAGAAAUGAGAAGAUUGAUAUGUGUUAUUAGUUCUUCUGUUUGCUAAAUUUUGUAUAUGUUAUCAAGAAUGAAGAUAGAUAGUGUUAUUAGUGUUCUUGUUUGCUAAAUUUGUAUAUUGUUAUCAAGAAAUGAGAAAUUAGAUUGUGUUAUUAAGUGUUUUGGUUUGUUUGCCUAAUUUUGAUAUUGUUUAUCCAAGAAAGAGAAGAUUGAUAGUGUUAUUAGUGUUCUUGUUUUGGCUAAAUUGUUGUAUAUUGCUUUGCAAGAAAUGCAAAGAGUUGAUAGUGUGUCAUUACUGUUUUUGUUUUGCUAAAUUUGUACAUAUUGUUUUCAAGAAAAUGAGAAGAUCUGAUAUGUUAUUAGUGUGUUGCUUGUUUGCUAAUUUUGUAUAUUUGUUAUCAAAAAAAUAGAGAAUUGAUAGUGGUUUAUUAGUGUUCUGUUUUGCUAAAUUUUGUAUAUUUGGUUAUAAGAAAUAGAGGAAAAAGGUUCGAUAGUGUUAUUAGUGUUCUGUUUUGCUAAAUUUUGUAUAUUCUUAUCCAAGAAAUAGAGAAGAUUGAAUAAUGUUAUAGUGUUCUUAGUUUUCUAAUUUUGGUAUAUUUUUGGGUUUUUAUCAAGCACCCAAAUGCCGAAGAUUGAAUCAGUGUUAUUAGUGUUUUGGUUUAUGCUAAAUUUUUGUAUAAUUGGUCUGAUCCAAAGAAACAUGAGAAGAUGAUAAUGUUAUUUUAGUGGUUUACUUGCUUAUCGGCUAAAUUUUGUAAUUGUUAUCAGAAAUUAGAAGAUUGAAUUAGUGUUAGUUAGUUGUUAUUAGUUUUUGGCUAAAAAUUUAUUGGUUAUAUUGGGUUAAUCAAAGAAUAAUGAGAAGAAGAGGUCCGAGUAGUUGAUGUAGCUAGUAGUUAGUCUUGUUUAUGCUAGAAAUAAUUUGUAUCUUGUUAUCUAAGAAAGAUUAGAAGAAUGGAAUAGUGUUAUAGGUGUUCUUAGGUUUGACUAAUGUGUAUACUUUUUGUGUCAAGAAGACGAAAGGAAGAAUGAUAGUGUUAUUGUAGUGUUUUUAUUUUGCUAAACUUAUUGCUAUAAUUCGUUAUCACAAUAAUGAGAAAGAAUGGGAUUAAGUAGGUUAUUGAGUGUUCUUCUGUUUUGCUAUCAAUUUUGUAAUAGUUGUUAUCAAAGAAAAUGAGAAGAUUAGUGUCUUCGUUAAUAUAUGUUUAUUGCAGUUUUGCUACCAUUUGUAUGAUUUUGAUUCAAGAAAUGAGAAGAAAAUCUGAAUAAUUGUUGAAAUUGAGUGUUCUUUCUUGUUAAUGCUAAAUUUUGUAAUAUAGUCUAGUCAAGAAAAUAUGAAGAUAGAUAGUGGUUAUAGUUGUUGCUGUUUAGCUAAAUUUUGUAUAUUGUUAUCAGAAAUGGAGAAGAGUCGAUUGUGUUAUAAGUGUUCUUGUUUUGCUAAUUUGGAAUAUAUUUUUGGUUUGCCCAAGUAAAGGAGAAAGAUGGAUAGGUGGUUAUUGUAUGUUCUUGUUUUGCUAAAUUGUGUUAUUGGUUGUCAGAAAAUGAAAAAGAUUGCGAGAUAGUGUUAUUAGUGUUUUUGCUUUUGCUAGAUUUGAGUAUUAAUUGUUUCUAAUGCUGAAAUGAGAAGUUUGCACAUUGAAUAGUGUUAUUCAGAUGUUCGUAUUGCUAACAUUUUUAAUAUUGUUAUACGAAAGAACAUGAAGAAUAGUUGAUAGUGUGUUUUAUGCUGCUUAGGUUGUUGUCUAGUUUUGUAAUAUUGUUUACUCAGAAUGAGAAGGUGCAAGUUGUAAUUAUGUUGCUUGUUUGCUAAAUUUUGUAUAUUGCAUUAUCAGAAGAAAAUGAGAAGAUUGAUAGUGUUAUUAGUGUUCUGGUUUUCUAAUUAUGUGUAUAUCUAGUUAGAAGGAAAGAAUAGAUUGAUAGGUUGUUAAUUAGUGGCUUCUUGUUUUGACGUAAAUUUUAGGGGAUAUUUGUUGUCAAAGAAAUGUAAGAAGAUGGAUAGAUGUUAUGUAGUGGUUCUUGUUACUGCUAAAUGAUGUUGUAUAUAGUUGUAUCCAAAGAAAAUGAGAGAGAUUGACUAGUGUUAUUUGAGUGUGUCUUGUUUUGCCUAAAUUUUUGUAUAAUGUAGUUAUGGAAGAAAUGGAGAAAGGUCGAUAGUGUUCAUUAGUGUUCGUUAGUUUGCCUAAGAUUUUAUAUAUUAGGUAUCAAAAGAAAUCGAGAAGAUUGAUAGUGCUUAAUUAGAUGUUCUGUGUUAUAUGCUGCCUAAAUUGUGUUAUUUUUGUCAUAAGAAACUGAGAAGAUUGAUAGUGGUUAUAUUGAGGGUGUUGUUUAAGUAUUGCUAAAUUUGUAUAUGUGUUAUGCAAGAAAUGAGACAGAUUAGAUAGUGCUUUGUUAGUGUUCUUGUUUUGCCCUAUACUUUGUUGGGUAUAUGUGUCUUAGUCAAAGAUAAUGAGAAGAUUGAUAGUGUUUUUUACUCGUUGUCUGUCUGAUUUGGCCCGCCUAUACUUUUGUAUAAUUCUUAUCAGAAAUAUGAGAAGAUUGAAUAGGUGUUAUUAGUGUUCUGUGUUUUGGCCGUAUAUUUUGUAUAUUCUUAAUCAACGAAAUGAGCAUAGAUUGAUGUAGUUUUUAGUGUUCUAUGGUUUUUGCCCCUAAAUUUUGUAUAUGUUGAUACAAGAAAUGAGAAGAUUGUAUAGUUAUUAGUGUUCCUAUGUUUUAUGCCUAAUUUUUGUAUUAGUUAUCAAGAAAUAUGAAGAUAGAUAGUGUUAUUAGUGUUCUUGGUUUAGACUAAUUUGUAAUAUUGUUAAUAAGAAAUGAGAAGAUAUUCCGAUUGUUUAUUAGUGUUCUUGUUUUGCCUAAUCUGUUGCAGAUAUUGGUUGUGCUCGAAUAUGGUGGCAAGACAAGGAGAAGAUGAUCGGUUUAUUAGUGUUCUUGUUUUUGCUAAAGUGUGUAUAUUUGGAUGUCCAAGUAAAUGACGAAGAUUAUAGUCGUUAUUAAAGUGUAUUUGUUUUGCAUAAAUGUUGUAAAUAUUGUAUCAAGACAGUGGAGAAGAUUGGAUAUGUGUUAUUAGUGUUACUUCGUGUUUUUCUAUACAGAUUUUGUAUAUGUGUGUAUCAAGAAUGACAAAAUUAGAUAGUGUUUUCUAGUAUUGUUCUUGUUUUACUGAGCCCUAAAUUUUGUAUAAUUGUUCAGUAGAAAUAGAAGGUCGAUAGGUCGUUAUUAGUGAUUCUUGUUUUUCGGCUGAUAGAAAUGUUGUAUAUUCUUAUCGAAGAAAUGAGAAGAUGAUAGUGUUAUUGUGUUCUUGGUUUGGCUAAUUUGUAAUAUUGUUGUAUGCAAGUACCAUGAGAAAGGAUUGAAUAGUCGUUAUUAGUGUCCUCUUAGUCUUUGGCUAAAUUUUUGUAUACUUGCUGUCCAAGAAUGAAGAAGAUUGAUAAUAUUAUUAGUCGUUCUUGGUAUGCUAAUAAAUUUUGUAUAUUGUUAUGCAAAGAAAAUGAGGAUGAUUCGAUAUGCGUUAUUAGUGUUUCUGUUUUGCCUAUAAUUUUGUAUAUGUUAUCAAAGAAAGAUGAGUAAGAGCGUCGAGUAUGUAGCUGAUUAGGUUCUUGGUUUUUGCUAAAAUUUUGGUAAUAUUGUUAUCAAGAAAUGAGAAGAGUUGAUAGUGUUAUUAGUGGUUUAAUUGUUUUGCCUAAUAAGGUUGUGUGAUGAUUUUUGUCAAAGAAAUGAGAAGAUUGGAUAAGUGUUAUUAGUGCUUUUUAUUUUUGCUAAAAUUUUGUAUAUUGUUAUCGGUAAGAAAGGAAGAAGCGGAUUGGGAUAGUGUGUUUUUAGUGGUUCUUUUGUUUUGCUAAAUUGUAUGAUUGUUAUCAAGAAAUGAAGAAGUAUUGAUAGGUUGUAUCAUUAGUGUUCUUGUUUUGGCUAUUUUGUAUAUGUUAUCAAAGAAUGAGAAGAUUGAUAUUGUUAUAUAGUGUUCUUUGUUUUGCUAUAUUUUGUAAUAUUGUUAUCAAGAAAUGAGGAGAUGAUGUGCUAUGAUGUUUUGCUAAAUUUGUAUCAUUGUUAUCAGAAGGAGGAUUGUAGUAAGUUAACUUAGCUGUCUUCAUUUGUGCUAAAUAAGUUGUUAAUCAAGAUAGUGCAGAAGAUUGGAUACGUGUUUUUAGUGUUCUUGUUCUUGCUAUUUUGUAUAUUGUUUCGAAAGGAUGAGAAGAUCGUAGUGUUAUUAGUGUUCUAUGUUUGCCUAUAAUUUUGUUAUUUGUUAUCAAGAAUGAGAAGAUUGAUAGGUAGUGAUUCUUGUUUUCUAAUUUUAGUUAUUGUUCUCAAGAAAUGAGUUGAGGGUUAUGCUUCGUUUGACUAAUUUUGUAUAUGUUAAGAAAAGUGAGAAGGAUUGACUAAUGUUAGUUGAGUUGUUUUGAUUUUGCUAAAUUUGUAGAUGUUAUCAAUAACGAUGAGAAGAGCACUUGAUAGGUAGGUUAUUAUUAGUGUUCUGUCGUUUCGAACUAUAAUUUAUUGUAUAAUUGUUAUCAAGAAAAUGAGAAGAUUAGAAUAGUGUUAAUGAAAAAGUUUGUCGUUUUGGCUAAUUUUGUAUUUCUUAUCAAGAAAUGAGAAGAUUGAUAGUGUGUAUUAGUGUUCUUUUUGACUAAUGUUUGUUAAUUGCUUAUCAAGAAAUGAGAAGAUUGAUAGUGUUAUUAGUGUUCUUGUUUUUGGCUCUAAAUUUUUGAGUAUAUUGUGAUCAAGAAUGAGAUAGUUGUAUGUUAUUAUGUUCUUGUUUAUGCUAAGUUUUGUAUAUUAGUUAUUUCAAGAAUGAUGAAGAUUGAUAGUGUAUUAGUCGUUCCUCUGUAUUGCUAAAAUUAUUGUAUAUUGUAUCAAGAAAUGAGAAGAUUCGAUUGGUGUGUAUUAGUGUUCUUGGUUUUGCUAAGUUUUUGUAUAUUGUUACAAGAAAAGGAGAAGAUGUGAUAGUGUUAUUGUGUUCAUUGUUUUGCCUAAAUUGUGUAUAUUGUUUUCAAGACAAUGAGCAAGAUGAUAUUAUUUCAUUGAGUUGCUUAUUUUAUAUGCUUUCGAAUGAGAAAUUAUGUGGUAUUAGUUUCGUUAUCAAGAAAUGACUAGACUAGGAAAUUUUCAAAGUGAACAUGGCUAUUAGUGUUCUGUUGGCUAUUAUUGUAAUAAGGAAUGUAGUAUCAAACAGCGAAAUAUGAGACAGUAUUGAAUGUUUUGAUGGCUUUUAGCACGGAUCUUUUCGUACUGCACUAAAUUUUGUCAGUUCGUUUAGUUAUCUGUUUCAAUUAGCGAGUGUAUUCCGAAUUUUAUCAGGAUGAAUGAUAGUGUAUUAGUGAUCUUGUUUUGGCUAAAUUUUGUGUAUAUUGUAUCAAUGAAUGAAAGGAUUGAUAGGGUUUAUGUGAGUCUGUUCUUGUUUUGCCUAAUACUAUGUAUAUUGUUAUCAAGAAAAUGAGAAGAUUGAUAGAUGUUAUUAGUGUUCUGUUUUGCUAAAUUUGUAUAUUGUUAUCAAGAAAUGAGAGGAUUGGAUUGUUGAUUAGUGUUCUUGUUGAUGCCUAAAAUUUUUGUAUAUUGUUAUACAAGAAAUGAGAAGAUUGAUAGUGUGAAUUAGUGUUUGCUCUGGUUUUGCUAAAUUUUGUAUAUUGUUAUCAAGAAGAUGAGAAGAUGUGAUAGGGUUUAUUAGUGUUCUUGUUUUGCCUAAAUUUUGAUUAGGUCACUUGUUAUCAAAAUAGAACAUGAGUAAGAUUGAUAGUUGAUGAUUAGUGUUCACGUGGGGUUUGUGCGUAAAUUGAUGGUAAUUUUUUGUUCAUAGAAAUGAGAAUGAUUGAUGUGUUUAUUAAGUGUUUUAUUUUUGACUAAAUUUAUGGUAGAUAUAUGUUUAUUCGAAGAAAUGUGGAGAGAUUGAUAGUGUUUUUAGGUGUUCCUGUUUUGCUAUAGUUUUUGUAUAUUGUUAUCAAGAAAAUAGAAGAUUGAUAGUGUUAUUAGUGUUCUUGUUGUUGCUUUAUUCUUGUAUAUUCUUAUCAAGAAAUGAGAAGAAUUGAUAUGUUUAUUAGUGUUCUUCGUUUUGCUAUAUUUUUGUAAUAUUCUAUAUCAAGAAAUGAGAAAAGAUUGAUAGUGUUAUAGUGUUCUUGUUUUGCCUAAAUUUUGUAUAGUUGGUUGUCAAGAAAUGAGCAAGAGUUGAUAAUGUUUAUCGUGGGGGUACCGUUUUGGAGUUCAUGGUGAGGUCUGGAAGGAGCGACUAAGGGCACCCGAUGUCAGAACACUAACAAGUGGCGUGAUAGGGUGUUUACUUAAAGGCAGAUCGCGUGGAAGACUAGAAUGUGGCGUGUCAUGCAGCAUUGGUGCUUGGUAUAACUAGUAGCCAGCUCAGUAUAUAAAGAAUUUUUGUGUGAGUAUAGCUAUGUAUACCUCCGGAGGAAGAGGAAAAGGAAGGAAUGUUGUGGAUCGAGAGUUCUAUGUUGGUAUAAGGUUGAGUGUUUCCUUGUUUUGCUCAGAUUUUGCGUAUAGUAGUUUAACCCUCCCGCCGGCACGUAAGUUGAAGAGAGAAGGAUGGGACUGAUGUGUAUCGGUAGUGUGUACUUUGAUUUUGAGGCUAAACUUGAGUGUAUACGGUUAGUUAUUUGUGUCGAAAAGAGGCGAGAGGAUCGGAAUGUUGGUGUUCAUUAGUCGUUUUUUCUGGUAUUUUGCAGAUUUGUAUAUUGUUAUCAAAGAAUGAGAAGAUUGAUAAGUGUUAUAGUGUUCUGUUUGCUAAAUUUUUGUAUAUUGUUAUCAAGAAAAUGAGACGAUGUAGUGUUAUUUAGUGUUCUUGUUUUUGCUACACAUUUUGUAUAUUGUUAUUCAAAAUGAGAAGUGUGAUAGUGUUACUAGUGUUCUUGUUUUGCAAUUUUGUAUAUUUUAUCCAAGAUAAUGAGAAAGAUGAUAGUGUUAUGUUUAUUAGUGUUCUGUGUUUGCUAAUAUUUUGUAUAAUUGUGUUAUCCAAGAAUGAGAAAGAUUGAUAGUGUUAUUAGUGUUUUUUGUUUUUGCUACAAAUUUGUAUAUUGUUUAGAGAAAUGAGAAGAUUUUGAUAAAGUCUUAUUAAGUGUUCUUGUUAUGCUAAAUGCUUUGGCUGAUAUUGUUAUCAAGAAAUGAGAAGAUUGUAGUGUUUUAGUGUUCUUGUUUUGCUAAAUUUUGUUAUUAGUAUCAAGAAAUGAAGAAGUGAUAGUGUUAUUAGUGUUCGCUUGUAUUUUGCUAAUUGUUGUAAGUAUUGUUAUCAAGAAAUGAGAAGAUUGAUAGUGUUAUUAGUGUUUCUUGUUUUGCUAAAUUUUGUAUAUUGUUUCAAGAAAUGAGAAGGCGAUAGUGUUAUUAGUGUUCUUGUUUGCUAUAUUUUGUAUAUUAUCUUAUUCCAAGAAAUCGAGAAGAUUGAUAGUGUUAUUAGUGUUCUUGUUUUGCAUAAUAUUUGUAUAAUUGUUAUCAAGAAAUGAGAAGAUUGAUAGUGUUUAUUAGUGUUCUUGUUUUGCUAAAGUUUGUAUAUUGUUAUCAAGAAAUGAGAAGUUGAUAGUUUCUAUAGUGUUCUUGUUUUGCAAAUUUUGUAUUUUUAUCAAAAUGUAGAAGAUUGAUGAGUGUUUCUUAAGUGUUCUUGUUUUGCUAAAAUUUGUAAUUUGUUUCAAGGAAAUGAGAAGAUUGAUAGUGUUAUUAUGUGUUUUUGUUUUGCUAAAUUUUGUAUAUUGGUUAUCAAAGAAAUGUGAGAAGAAUUGGAUUGAGUGUUAUUAGUGUUCUUGUUUUUGCUCGAAAUUUUAUGUAAUUCGUUAUACCGAGAAGAGAAAUGAGAAGAUCUGGAUAAGUGGUUAUUUAGUGGUUCCCUUGUUUUGCUGAAAUUUUGUAUAUUGUUUAUCACUCGAGCAAGAAAUGAGAAGAUUGAUAUGUUAUUAGGUGUUUUCUUUGUUUUGGACUGUAAAUUUUGUAUAUUGCUAUCUCAAAAUAGAGAAGAUCGAAUAGUGUUAUUAGGGUUCUUGUUUUGCUAAAUUCUUGUCAUUGUUAUCCAAGAAUAUAGAGUUAUGUGUAAGUUGAUAUCAGUUUAUCAAGAAAUAGGAGAUUGAUAGUGUUAUUAGUGUUCUUGUUUUGCUAAAUUUUGUAUAUUGUUAUCAAGAAAUGAGAGAUUGAUAGUGUUUAGUGUCUUUUUUGUAAAUUUUGUAUAUUGUUAUCAAGAAAUGAGAAGAUUGAUAGUGUAAUUAAGUGUUCUUGUUUUGUUAAAUUUUUGGUAUAUGUUAUCAAGAAAUAGAAGAUGAUAGUGGUUAUUAGUGUUCUUUUGCUAAAUUUUGUAUAUUGUUAUAAGAAAUGAGAAUGAUGUGUUAUUAGUGUUCUUUGUUUUGCUAAAUUUUGUAUAUUGUUUCAAGAAAGGAGAAGAUGGAUAGUGUUAUUAGUGUUCUUGUUUUGCUAAAUUUGUAUAUUGUUACAAGAAAUGAGAAGAUUGAUAGUGUUAUUAGUGUUUUGUUUUGCUAAAUUUUGUAUAUUGUUAUCAAGAAAUGAGAAGAUUGAUAGUGUUUAUUAGUGUUCUUGUUUUGCUAAAUUUUGUAUAUUGUUAUUCAAGAAAUGAGAAGAUUGAUAGUGUUUUAGUGUUCUUGUUUUGCUGAAAUUUUGUAUAUUGUUUCAAGAAAUGGAAGAGGUGAUAGUGUUAUUGUGUUCUUGUUUUGCUAAAUUUUUAUAUUCUUAUCAAGAAAUGAGAAGAUUGGAUAGUGUUAUUAGUGUUCUUGUUUUGCUAAUUUUGUAUAUUGUUAUCAAGAAAUGAGAGAUUGAUAGUGUUAUUAGUGUUUUGUUUGCUAAAAUUUUGUAUAUUGUUUCAAGAAAUGAAGAUGAUAGUGUUAUUAGUGUUCUUGUGUUUGCUAAAUUGUAUAUUGUAUCAAGAAUGAGAAGAUUGAUAGGUUUUUAGUGUUCUUGUUUUGCAUAAAUUUGUAUAUUUGUUAUCAAGAAUGAGAAGAUUGAUAGUGUUAUUAGUGUUUUGUUUUGCUAAAUUUUGUAUAUUGUUACAAGAAAUGAGAAGAUUGAUUGAUUAUUAGUGUUUGUUUUGCUAAAUUUUUGUAUAUUUUAUCAAGAAAUGAGAAGAUUGAUAGUGUUAUUAGUGUUCUUGUUUUGCUAAAUUUUGUAUAUUGUUAUCAAGAAAUGAGAGAUUGAUAGUGUUAUUUAGUGUUCUUGUUUUGCUAAAUUUUGUAUAUUGUUAUCAAGAAAUGAGAAGUGAUAGUGUUAUUAGUGUUCUUGUUUUGCUAAAUUUUGUAUAUUGUUAUCAAGAAAUAGAAGAUUGAUAGUGUUAUUAGUGUUUUGUUUUGCUUUCAUUUGUAUAUUGUUAUCAGAGAAUAUGAAGAUGAUAGUGGUUAUUAGUGUUCUUGUUUGCUAAUUUUGUAUAUUGUUAUAAAGAAAUGAGAAGAUGAUUGUUGUUAUUAUGUCUUGUUUUGGCUAAAUUUUGUAUUAUUGUUCAAAGAAAGGAGAAGAUGAUAGUGGUUAUAGUGUUCUUGUUUUGCUAAAUUUAGUAUAUUGUUAUCAAGAAAGAGAAGAUUGAUAGUUUAUAUAGUGUUUUUGUUUUGCUAAAUUUUGUAUAUUGUUAUCAAGAAAUGAGAAGAUUGAUAGUGUUAUUAGUGUUCUUGUUUUGCUAAAUUUUGUAUAUUGUUAUCAAAAUGAGAAGAUUGAUAGUGUUUUAGUGUUCUUGUUUUGCUAAAUUUUGUAUAUUGUUAUCAAGAAAUGAGAAGUGAUAGUGUUAUUAGUGUUCUUUUUUGCUAAAUUUUUAUAUUUUAUCAAGAAAUGAGAAGAUUGAUAGUGUUAUUUAGUGUUCUUGUUUUGCUAAUUUUGUAUAUUGUUAUCAAGAAAUGAGAAGAUUGAUAGUGUUAUUAGUGUUUGUUUUGCUAAAUUUUGUAUAUUGUUUCAAAGAAAUGAGAAGAUUGAUAUGUUAUUAGUGUUCUUGUUUGCAAAUUUUAGUAUAUUGUUAUCAAGAAAUUAGAAGAUUGAUAGUGUUAUUAGUGUUCUUGUUUUUGCUAAAGUUUUGUAUAUUGUUAUCAAGGAAUGCGAGAAGCAUCGAUAGUGUUUAUUAGUGUUUGCUUGUUUUCUAAAUUUUGUAUAUUGUUUAUCCCAAGGAAAUGACGGAAAGCUCGAUAGUGUAUUAAGUGUUCUUGUUUUGCUGUUAUUUGUAUAGGUUCCUUAUCAACUGAAUGAGAAGAUUAGAUAGUGGUUAUUAGAGUGUUCUUGUCUUCUGACUAUUUUUGGUAUAUUGUUAUCAAUAGAAAUGAGAAGCUUGGAUAAGAUGUAUUAAUAGUGUCUGUUUGCGCUAUAUUUUGUAUAUUUGCUUAUCUAAAGAAUGAAGAAGAUUGUAGUGUGUAGUUAGUAGUUCUUUGUUUUGCUAACACUUUUGUAUCAGUUGCUUUAUCGAAGUAAAUGAGAAGAUAUUAAUAGUCGUUUUUAGUGUUCUUGUAUUUUGCUAAAUGGUGUAUAUUGUUGUCAGUGAAUGCGAGAAAGAUAUUGAAUAGUUGUGAUUAGUAGUUUUUGUUUUGCCUAAAUUAGUUGUAUAUUGGUUAUCCAAGAACUGAGAUUAGAUUGAUUUAGAGGUACGUAUUAAAGUAGUCUAGUUUUGCGUCUAAAUUUGUAUUAUAUGUUAUCAAGAAUGAGAAUGGAUUGCUAAGUGGUUUAUUAGUGGUUCUUGCUUUUAGCUAAAAUUAUUGUAUAUGUAGUUAUCAAGAGAAAUGAGAAAGAAUGAAUAGUGUUAUUAGUGUUCUGUGUUUUGCUAAUUUGUAUUAGGUUGUUAUCAAGAAAUGAGAGGUCGCGUAAGUGUUUUAUUACGUGGGUUGCUUGUUUGUCUAAAUUUGUGUAUAUUCCUUUAUCACAGUAUGUGUGUAUUGAGUUUGAGGUGUCGUUACUUCAGUUUUUGUCACACUAUUUUGAUAUGAUUCUAUCAAAGAAAAUGAGAAGAUUGAUGAGUGUAUCAUUAGUGUUCUGUGUUUGUUGCAUAAAUUUUGUUAUUGUAUUAUCAUAAGAAAAUGAAAGAUUUGAUAGUGUUUAUUAGUGUCGCUUUGUUUUUGCUAAAUUUGUAUAUUGUUAUCUAUAUAUAUAAGCGUAAAUACAGGAAGAGUUGAUACGUAGUAGUAGAUGUUAGUGUUCUUGUUUUGCUAAUUUUGUAAUAUUGUUAUCAAGAAUGAAGUAAGGUCGAUAGUGUUAUUAGUGUUCUUGUUUUGGCUAAAUUUGUAAUAUUCUUAUCAACGAAAUCGAGAAGAUUGAUAGUGUUAUAGUGUUUCUUGUUUUGCUUAAUUUUGUAUAUUCUUAUCAAGAAAUAGAAGAUUGAUAGUGUUUAUAUUAGUGGGUUUCUUGGUUUUGCUAAUUUUGUAUAUUGUUGUCCAAGCAAUGAGAAGAUUGAUACUGUUUAUUAGUGUCUUGUUAUGCUAAAAUUUUGUAUAGUUAUCAAAAGAAAUGAAGAAAGAUUGAUAGUGUUAUUAGUGUUCCUUGUUUGCUAAUUUGUAUAUUGUUAUCAAGAAAUGAGAAGAUCGAUUGGUUUUAAGUGUUCUUGUUUUGCUAAUUUGUAAAAUAUUGUUGCCAAGAAAGGAGAAGAUGAUAGUGUUUACUUAGUGUUCUUGUUUUGCUAAAUUGUGUAUAUUGUUUGUCAAGAAUGAGAAGCUUGAAUAGUGUAUUAGUGUUUUGUUUUGCUAAAUUUUGUAUAUUGUUCAUCAAGAAAUGAGAAGAUGUAAUAGUGUUAUUAGAUGUUCUUUGUUUUGCUAAAUUUUGUAUAUGUAUCAAAAAUGAGAAGAUUGAUAGUGUUUAUUCGUGUUUCUUUGUUUUGCUAAAUUUUGUAUAUUGUUAUCCAGAAAUGCGAAGAUUGGAUAGUGUUUUUAGUGUUAUUGUUUUGCUAAAUUUUGUAUAUAUGUUUAUCAAGAAAUGAGUAGGUCGAUAGUGUUAUUAGUGUUUCUUGUUUUGCUAAAUUUGUAUAUUCUUAUCAAGAAAUGAGAAGAUUGAUAGUGGUUAUUAAGUGUUCUUGUUUUGCUAUAUUUGUAUAUUGGUUUAUCAAGAAAUGAGAAGAUUGAUAGUGUUAUUGUGUUAUUGUUUUGCUUAAAUUUUGUAAUUGUUGUCCAGAAUGAGAAAGAUUGGAAUAAUGUUAUUAUGUUCUUGUUAUGCCUAAAUUUUGAUAUUGUUAUCAGAUAUACGAGAAGAUUGAUAGUGUUUUUUAGUGUUCUGUUUUGCUAAAUGUGUAUAUUGUUAGUCAGGAUGAGAAGAUUGAUAGUGGUUAUUAGUGUUUUUGUUGCUAAAAUUUUGUAUAUUGUUAUCAAGAAAUGAGAAGAUUGAUUGAUUUAUUGUGUUCUUGUUUGCUAAAUUUUGUAUAUUGUUUAUCAAGAAAUGAGAAGAUUGAUAGUGUUAUUAGUGUUCUGUUUUGCUAAAUUUGUAUAUUGUUAUCAGAAAUGAGAAGAUUGAUAGUGUUAUAGGUGUUCUUGUUUUGCUAAAUUUUGUUAUUGUUAUCAAGAAAUGAGAAAGGUCGAUAGGUUUUAUUAGAGUGUUCUUGUUUUGCUANNNNUAUUUGUUAUCAAGAAUGAGAAGAUUGAUAGUGUUAUUAGUGUUCUUGUUUUGCUAAAUUUUGUAUAUUGUUAUCAAGAAAUGAGAAGAUUGAUAGUGUGAUUAGUGUUCUUGUUUUGCUAAAUUUUGUAUAUUGUUAUCAAGAAUGAGAAGAUUGAUAGUGUUAUUAGUGUUCUUGUUUUGCUAAAUUUUGUAUAUUGUUAUCAAGAAAUGAGAAGAUUGAUAGUGUUAUUAGUGUUCUUUGUUUUGCUAAAUUUUUUAUAUUGUUAUCAAGAAAUGAGAAGAUUGAUAGUGUUAUUAGUGUUCUUGUUUGCUAAAUUUUGUAUAUUGUUAUCAAGAAAUGAGAAGAUUGAUAGUGUUUUUGUGUUUUGUUUUGCUAAAUUUUGUAUAUUGUUAUCAAGAAAUGAGAAGUUGAUAGUGUUAUUAGUGUUCUUGUUUUGCUAAAUUUUGUAUAUUGUUAUCAGAAAUAGGAAGUUGAUAGUGUUAUUAGUGUUCUUGUUAUCAAGAAACGUUUGACGCUGACCCUUUAGCAAAAUCUCUCAAAAAUGAAAGGCAUUGCCAUGGGGAAUUCUCCAUGGCUUCUUUCAGUCAAAUAAGGAAUGGAAGAUCACAACCAAGUCGAUGUAAGCCAUGACGCACUGUUCGUUUGAUAUUUAUGAUGGCUUCAAAAGGCCACACCACUGCUUCUAUAUCCGUACCACAUUUUAGGACUCUAUUAUGUGAGUUAUUUCUUUGCUUCUUUUUUCUUAGCAUCUUACGUAUAUGUUAUCAAGAAAUGAGAGAUUGAUAGUGUUAUUAGUGUUCUUGUUUGCUAAAUUUUGUAUAUUGUUAUCAAGAAAUGAGAAGAUUGAUAGUGUUAUUAGUGUUUUGUUUAAAUUUUGUAUAUUGUUAUCAAAAUGAGAAGAUUGAUAGUGUAUGUGUCUGUUUGCUAAAUUUUUAUAUUGUUAUCAAGAAAGAGAAGAUUAUAGUGUUAUUAGUGUUCUUUUUUUGCUAAUUUGUAUAUUGUUAUCAAGAAAUGAGAAGAUUGAUAGUGUUAUUAGUGUUCUUGUUUUGCUAAUUUGAUAUUGUUAUCAAGAAAUGGAAGAUUGAUAGUGUUUAUUGUCUUCUUGUUUUGCUAAAUUUUGUAUAUUGUUAUCAAGAAAGUAGAAAGAUUGAUAGUGUUAUUAGUGUUCUUGUUUUGCUAAAUUUGUAUAUUGUUAUCAAGAAAUGAGAAGAUGAUAGUGUUAUUAGUGUUCUUGUUUUGCUAAAUUUAUAUUGUUAUCAAGAAAUGAGAAGAUUGAUAGUGUUAUUAUGUUCUUGUUUUGAUAAUUUUGUAUAUUGUUAUCAAGAAAGAGAAGAUGAUAGUGUUAUUAGUGUUCUUGUUUUGCUAAAUUUUGUAUAUGUUAUCAAGAAUGAGAAGAUUGAUAGGGUUAUUAGUUUCUUGUUUGCUAAAUUUUGUAAAUUGUUAUCAAGAAAUGAGAAGAUUGAUGUGUUAUUAGUGUUCUGUUUUGCAAAUUUUGUAUAUUGUUAUCAAGAAAUGAGAAGGUUGAUAGUGUUAUUAGUGUUCUUGUUUUGCUAAAUUUUUAUUGUUAUCAAGAAAUGAGAAGAUUGAUAGUGUUAUUAGUGUUCUUAUCAAGAAACGUUUGACGCUGACCCUUUAGCAAAAUCUCUCAAAAUGAAAGGCAUGCCAUGGGGAAUUCUCCAUGGCUUCUUUCAGUCAAAAAGGAUAUGGAAGAUCACACAAGUCGAUGUAAGCCAUGACCACUGUUCGUUUGAAUUUAUGAUGGUUUUCAAAGGCCACACCAUUGCUCUUCCUAUAUUCGUACGCCAUCUUUAGGACUCUAUUAUGUGGUUAUUUCUUGCUUUUUUUCUUUAGCAUACAAUCUUAUAUUGUUAUAGAAAAAAGAAAGAUUGAUAGUGUUAUUAGUGUUCUUGUUUUCUAAAUUUUGUAUAUUGUUAUCAAGAAAUGAGAAGAUUGAUAGUGUUAUUAGUGUUCUUUUGUAAAUUUUGUAUAUUGUUAUCAAGAAAUGAGAAGAUUGAUAGUGUAUUAGUGUUCUUGUUUUGCUAAAUUUGUAUAUUGUUAUCAAGAAAGAGAAAUUGAUAGUGUUAUUAGUGUUCUUGUUUUGCUAAAUUUUGUAUAUUGUUAUCAAGAAUGAGAAGAUUGAUAGUGUUAUUAGUGUUCUUGUUUGUCUAAAUUUUGUAAUUGUUAUCAAGAAAUGAGAAGAUUGAUAGUGUUAUUAGUGUUCUUGUUUUGCUAAAUUUUGUAUUUGUUAUCAAGAAAUGAGAAGGUUGAUAGUGUUAUUAGUGUUCUUGUUUUGCUAUUUUGUAUAUUGUUAUCAAGAAAUGAGAAGAUUGAUAGUGUUAUUAGUGUUCUUAUCAAGAAACGUUUGACGCUGACCCUUUGAAAUCUCUCAAAAAUGAAAGGCAUUGCCAUGGGAAUUCUCCAUGGCUUUCUGUUCAGUCAAAAGGAUAUGGAAGAUCACAACCAAGUCGAUGUAAGCAUGACCCUGUUUUCGUUUAUUUAUGAUGGUUCAAAGGCACACCAGCUUCUAUAUUCGUACGCACAUCUUUAGGAUUAUUAGUGAGUUAUUUCUUUGCUUCUUUUUCUUAGCAUACUAAUCUGUAUAUUGUAUCAGAAAAAGAAGAUUGAUAGUGUUAUUAGUGUUUUGUUUUUCUAAAUUUUGUAUAUUGUUAUCAAGAAAUGAGAAGAUUGAUAGUGUUAUUAGUGUUCUUUUUUGCUAAAUUUUGUAUAUUGUUAUCAAGAAAUGAGAAGAUUGAUAGUGUAUUUAGUGUUCUUGUUUUGCUAAAUUUUGUAUAUUGUUAUCAAGAAAUGAGAAGAUUGAUAGUGUUAUUAGUGUUCUUGUUUUGCUAAAUUUUGUAUAUUGUUAUCAAGAAAUGAGAAGAUUGAUAGUGUUAUUAGUGUUCUUGUUUUGCUAAAUUUUAUAUUGAUACAAGAAAUGAGAAGAUUGAUAGUGUUAUUAGUGUUCUUGUUGCUAAAUUUUGUAUAUUGUUCAAGAAAUGAGAAGAUUGAUAGUGUUAUUAGUGUUUUGUUUUGCUAAAUUUUGUAUAUGUUAUCAAGAAAUGAGAUAUGAGUGUAUUAGUGUUCUUGUUUUGCUAAAUUUGUAUAUUGUUAUCAGAAAAUGAGAAGUUGAUAGUGUUAUUAGUGUUCUGUUUUGCUUAUUUUGUAUAUUGUUAUCAAGAAAUGAGAAGAUUGAUAGUGUUUAUUAGUGUUUCUUGUUAUCAAGAAACGUUUGACCGCUGACCCUUUAGCAAAAUCUCUCAAAAAUGAAAGGCAUUGCCAUGGGGAAUUCUCCAUGGCUUCUAUUCAGUAAAAUAAGGAUAUGGAAGAUUGUUAUUAGUGUUCUUGUUUUGCAAAAUUUUGUAUAUUGUUAUCAAGAAAUGAGAAGAUUGAUAGUGUUAUUAGUGUUCUUGUUUUGCUAAAUUUUGUAUAUUGUUAUCAAGAAAUGAGAAGAUUGAGAGUGGUAUUAGUGUUCUUGUUUUGCUAAAUUUUGUAUAUUGUUAUCAAGAAAUUAGAAGUUUGAUAGUGUUAUUAGUGUUCUUGUUUUGCUAAAUUUUGUAUAAUUUUAUCAAGAAAUGAGAAGAUUGAUAGUGUUAUUAGUGUUCUUGUUUUGCUAAAUUCUAUAUAUUGUUAUCAAGAAAUGAGAAGAUUGAUAGGGUUAUUAGUAUUCAUGUUUUGCUAAAUAUUGUAUAUUGUUAUCAAGAAAUGAGUAGAUUGAUAGUGUUAUUAGUGUUCUUGUUUUGCUAAAUUUUGUAUAUUGUUAUCAAGAAAUUAGAAGAUUGAUAGUGUUAUUAGUGUUCUUGUUUUGCUAAAUUUUGUAUAUUGUUAUCAAGAAAUGUGAGAAGAUUGAUAGUGUUAUUAGUGUUUCUUGUUUUUGCUAAAUUUUGUAUAUUUUAUCAAGAAAUGAGAAGAUUGAUAGUGUUAUUAGUGUUCUUGUUUUGCUAAAUUUGUAUAUUGUUUCAAGAAAUGAGAAGAUUGAUAGUGUUUAUUAGUGUUCUGUUUGCUAAAUUUUGUAUAUGUUAUCAAGAAAUGAGAAGAUUGAUAGUGUUAUUAGUGUUCUUGUUUUGCUAAAUUUUGUAUAUUGUUAUCAAGAAUGAGAAGAUGUGUGUGUUUUAUUAGUUCUUGUUUUGCUAAUUUUGUAUUGUUCAAGAAAUGGAGAAGAUGAUAGGUGUUUAUUGUGCUUCUUUUGCUAAAUUGUAUAUUGUUUCAAAAAAUGAGAAGAUGAUAGUGUUUUAUGUGUUCUUUUUUUGCUAAAUUUUGUAUAUUGUUAUCAAGAAAUGAGAAGAUUGAUAGUGUAUUAGUGUUCUUGUUUUGCUAAAUUUGUAUAUUGUUAUCAAGAAAUGGAGAAGAUUGAUAGUGUUAUUGUAGUGUUCUUGUUUUGCUAAAUUUUGUAUAUUGUUAUAAGAAAUGAGAGAGUUGAUAGUGUUAUUAGUGUUCUUUGGUUUGCUAAAUUUUGUAUAUUUGUUAUCAAGAAAUGAGAAGUAUGAGAUAGUGUUAGUUAGUGUUCUUGUUUUGCUGAAUUUUUGUAUAUUGUUAUCAAGAAAUGAGAAGAUUGAUAGUGUUAUUAGUGGUUUUCGUUUUGCUAAAUUUUGUAUAUUGUUUCAAGAAUGAGAAGAUUGAUAUGUUAUUAGUGUUCUUGUUUGCUAAAUUUGUAUAUUGUUAUCAAGAAUGAGAAGAUUGAAUAGUGUUAUUAGUGUUCUUGUUUUGCUAAAUUUUGUAUAUUGUUUAUCAAGAAAUGAGAAGUGAUAGUGUUUAUUAGUGUUCUUGUUUUGCUAAAUUUUGUAUAUUUUAUCAAGAAUGAGAAGAUUGAUAGUGUUAUUAGUGUUCUUGUUUUGCUAAAUUUUGUAUAUUGUUAUCAAGAAUAGAAGAUUGAUAGUGUUAUUAGUGUUCUUGUUUUGCUAAAUUUUGUAUAUUGUGUCAAAGAAAUGAGAAGAUUGAUAGUGUUAUUAGUGUUCUUUGUUUGCUAAAAUUUGUAUAUUGUUAUCAAGAAAUGAGAAGAUUGAUAGUGUUAUUAGUGUUCUUGUUUUGCUAAAUUUGUAUAUUGUUUAUCAAGAAAUGAGAAGAUUGAUAGUGUUAUUAGUGUUCUUGUUUUGCUAAAUUUUGUAUAUUGUUAUCUAAGAAAUGAAGAAGAUUGAUAGUGUUAUUAGUGUUCUUGUUUUGCUAAAUUUUGUAUAUUGUUAUCAAGAAUAAUGAAGUACGAUAGUGUUAUUAGUGUUCUUGUUUUGCUAAAUUUUGUAUUAUUGUUAUCAAGAAAUGAGAGAUUGAUAGCUGUAUUAGUGUUCUUGUUUUGCUAAAUUUUGUAUAUUGUUAUCAAGAAAUGAGAAGAUUGAUAGUGUUAUUAGUGUUCUUGUUUUUUUGCUAAAUUCUAUAUAUUGUUAUCAAGAAAUGAGAAGAUUGAUAGGGUUAUUAGUAUUCAUGUUUUGCUAAAUUUUGUAUAUUGUUAUCAAGAAAUGAGAAGAUUGAUAGGGUUAUUAUUGUUCUCGUUUUGCUAAAUUUUGUAUAUUCUUAUCAAGAAAUAAGAAGAUUGAUAGUGUUGUUAGUGUUCUUGUUUUGCUAAAUUUUGUAUAUUGUUAUCAAGAAAUGAGAAGCUUGAUAGUGUUAUUAGUCGUCUUGUUUUUCUAAAUUUUGUAUAUUAUUAUCAAGAAAUGAGAAGGUUGAUAGUGUUAUUAGUGUUCUUGUUUUGCUAAAUAUUGUAUAUUGUUAUCAAGAAAUGAGAAGAUUGAUAGUCUUAUUAGUGUUCUUGUUUUGCUAAAUUAUGUAUACUGUUAUCAAGAAAUGAGAAGAUUGAUAUUGUUAUUAGUGUUCUUGUUUUGCUAAAUUUUGUAUAUUGUUAUCAAGAAAUGAGAAGAUUGAUAGUGUUAUUAGUGUUCUUGUUUUGCUAAAUUUUGUAUAUUGUUAUCAAGAAAUGAGAAGAUUGAUAGUGUUAUUUGUGUUCUUGUUUUGCUAAAUUUUGUAUAUUGUUAUCAAGAAAUGAGAAGAUUAAUAGUGUUAUUAGUGUUCUUGUUUUGCUAAAUUUUAUAUAUUGUUAUCAAGAAAUAGGAAGGUUGAUAGUGUUAAUAGUUUUCUUGUUUUGCUUAAUUUUGUAUAUUGUUGUCAAGAAAUGAGAAGAUGAUAGUGUUAUUAGUGUUCUUGUUAUCAAGAAACGUUUGAAGCUGACCCUUUAGCAAAAUCUCUCAAAAAUGAAAGGCAUUGCCAUGGGGAAUUCUCGAUGGCUUCUAUUCAGUCAAAUAAGGAUAUGGAAGAUCACAACCAAGUCGAUGUAAGUCAUGACGUGAGUUAUUUCUUUGCUUCUUUUUUCUUAGCAUACUACUCUGUAUAUUAUUAUCAAGAAAUGAGAAGAUUGAUAGUGUUAUUAGUGUUCUUGUUUUGCUAAAUUUUGUAUAUUGUUAUCAAGAAAUGAGAAGAUUGAUAUUGUUAUUAGUGUUCUUGUUUUGCUAUAUUUUGUAUAUUGUUAUAAAGAAAUGAGAAGAUUGAUAGUGUUAUUAGUGUUCUUGUUUUGCUAAAUUUUGUAUAUUGUUAUCAAGAAAUGAGAAGAUUGGUAGUGUUAUUAGUGUUCUUGUUUUGCUAAAUUNNNNNNNNNNNNNNNNNNNUGCAAGAGGAAAUUUCUUUCUCUUGAAAAAUGCAAGGCUUGCCAUGUACUGUGCGAAUCCCAUAGAGCUUCCUCCUAGUUUUCAGUCCAGAAACUCUUAAGUUGGGAUAUGGAAGAUCACAACCAAGUCGAUGUAACUCAUACGCACUGUCGUUGAUUAUGAUGGAUUCAAAGGCCACACCACUGCUUUCUAAUCCGUACGUCAACAUCUUUGAGGACGUCUAUUACGUGAGUUAUUCUUUGCUUCCCCUUUUUCUUAGCAUACUUAUCUAUAUAUUUUUUAUCAAAGGAUAAUAGUAAGAUUGAUAGUGUUAUAGUGUCGAUUGUUUUGCCUAAUUGUUGCGUAUAUGUAUCCAUACUCCAAAGAGAAGAUUGUAAUAUUAGUUAGUGUUCGUGUCUUUUGCUAAAAUUUUAUUUAUCAAGAAACGAGAGAGGAUUGAUAGUGCUGAUUUUAGUAGUUUCUUGUUUACGUAAAAUUGUAGACUUAUUUCAAGAAAUGAGAAAGAUUGAUAAAUGUUAUUAGUUUUGCUUGUUUUGCUUAAAUUUGCUGAUGUUAUCAAGAAAUAUAGAUGAUAGUGUUAUUAGUGUGCUUGUUUUUCUAAAUUUGUAUAUUUAUUCAAGAAAUGAGAAGGUUGAUAAGUAUUUAAGUUUCUUGUGUUGCUAAAUUUUUAUAUUGUUUUUAGCAAAGGAAAUUGAGAAGGUUGAUAGUGUUAUUAGUAUUCUUGUUUUGCUACAAUUUUGUUAUUGUUACUCAAGAAAUGAGAAGAUGAUAGUGUUAUUUAGUGAUUCUUGGGGUUUACAAAGGAAACGUUGACGUCUGACCUAUGCUCUCAUUAAAAUUCUCUGGGAAAAAUGAACAGCAUUGCCUAGAGAAGUUUCCAUGCUGCUCUUCAGUCAAAUAAGGGAUAUGGAAGAUUCACAACCAAGCGAGUAUAGCCAUGAGCGCUACUAAUUUCGUUGGAAAUUAUGAUGGCUUCAGAACGCCACACGCUGUCUUCCUUUUUAUCCGUGACGCACAUCUUUAGGACCUUCUAUUCGGGGAGUUAGUGUCUUUGCUUUCUUUUUUCUUAGGCUAUACUUUAUCUGUAGGUAUUGUUCAUUCCAAUAUUAAGCUAGAUUUUGAGAUAGUGUGGUUUAGUGUUCUUGUUUUGCUAAAUUAUAUAUUGUUAUCAAGUAAAUGAGAGAGUGGAUAAGUGUUAUUGGUGGUUUCUUGUUUUGCUAAAUGUGUGGUAUAUUGUAUCAAGAAAUGUAGAAGAUUUGAAGUGUUAUUUGUGUUCUUGUUGUGACUAAAUCUACUAAACAAUUUGUCUUAUUGUUAUCAAGAAGAUGAGAAGAUUGAUAGUGUUAUUAAUGUUGUGAGUUGCUAAAUUUGGCUUUUGUUACUCAAGAAAUCGAGAAAGAUUGAUAGUCGUUAUUAGUGUUCUUGUUGCUAAAUUUUGUAUAUUUUACCCAAAGAAAUGAUGAAGAUUGAUAGUUGUUAUUAGUGGUUCUUGUUUUGCUAAAUUGGUAUAUUGUUAUCAGAAAUCGAAGAAGGAUUUAUAGUGUUAUUAGUGUUCUUGUUUUGCGUUAAAUUGUAUAUUAUUAUCAAGAAAUGAGAAGGUUGAUAGUCGGGUAGUUAGUGUCUCUCUCGUUUUGCUAAAUUUUGUUAUGUUAUCAAGGAAAUGAGAAGAUUGAUAGUGUUAUUAGUGUUCUUUUAUUAUUUCAAGAAACGUUUCGAAGCUGACCCUUGAUAGCGAAAUCUCUCAAAAGAAAGCAUGCACAUAAAGGACGAAAUUCUCCAAUUGGCUUUGCUAGUCAUCAAAAAGGAAUGGAAGACACAACCAAAGUGGCUAUGUAAGUCAUGACGCACUGUUCGUUUGAAUUUAGUGUAUGGCUUCACAAGGCCACACCCCGAACGCUUCCUGAUAUUGCGGUACGGCCACAUCUUUAGGACUCUAUUACGUCGAGUUAUUUCUUUGCUUCUUUGGUUUCUUAGCAGACUAACUACUGAUCUAUUGUUAUCAAGAAAUGAGAAAAAGAUAUGAUAGUGUUAGUAGUGUCAAUGUGUUUCGCUAAAUUUUGUAUAUUGUUAUCAGAAAUGAGAAGGAGUUUCUAGUGUUCAUCUAAGCUGUUCUUGUUUUUUCUGUAAUUAGUUAUAUUGUGUAUCAAGAAAUGAGACGAUUGAUUAGUUGAUUACCGUGUUCUUAUUAUUGCCUAAAUUUUGUAUAUUGUUUCAAGAACAUAGAAGAUUGAUAAUUUAUAGUGUUUUCUCUGUUUGCUAAUUUGUAUACGUAUAUUCAAUGAAUAGGAAGGAUUGAUAGUGUUAUUAGUGUUCUUGUUUGCUAAACUUUCGUGUAUAUUGUAUAUCCAAGCAAAUGAGAAUGAUUAUAGUUGUUAUUAGUGUUCUUGUUUUGCGCUAAAUUUGUAUAUGUUAUCAAGAAAUGAGAAGAUUGAUAUGUGUUAUUAUGUUGUUCUUGUUUUGCUAAAUUACUGUAUAUUGUAUCAAAAAAUGAGAAGAUUUGAUAGCUAGUUAUUGUGUUCUUUCUCGUGUUUUGCUAAAUUUGUAUAUAUGUUAUCAAGAAAUAGGAAGUUGAUAGUGUUAUUAGCUGUUCUUGGUUUUUAUAAAUUAUUGUAUAUUUAUGUAAGAAAUGAGAAGAUUGAUAUGUUAUUAGUGUUCUUGUCUUUUUUGCUAAAUUUGAUAUUGUAUCAAGAAAUGGAGAACUGAUUGAUAGUGUUUAGUGUUUAGUCAUUGUUUUGCUAAUAUGUAUACUUUGUAUCAAGAAAUGAGAGAUUGAUAGUUGAUAGGUGUUCUUGUUUUAGCUAAUAUUGUAUAUUGUUAUCAAGAAAUGAGAAGCAUUGAUAGUGUUAUUAGUGUUCUUGCUUUUGCCUAAAUUGUAUAUUGUUAUCAAGAAAUGAGAAGAUGGAUGAUAGUGUUAUUAGUGUUCUAUUUUUUGCUAAAUUUUCGCUAUAUUGAUUAUCAAGAAAUGAGAAGAUUGAUAGUGAUUUAGUGUUCUUCUUUUGCUAAAUUUUGUUAUAUUGUUUAUUAUCAAAAAGUGAGAAGAGUGAUAGAUUAGUUGUCGUUCUUGUUUUGCUUAAUUGGUAUAUUGUUAUCAAGAAAUAGAGAAGAUUGAUUAGUGUUAUUAGUGGUUUCUUGUUUUGCUAAAUUUGUAUAUUGUGUAUCAAGAAAUUGAGAGAUUGAUAGUGUAUUAGUGUUCUGUUUUGCUAAAUUUGCGUAUAUUGUUAGCAAGAAGUGAGCAAGGAUUUACUAGUGUUAUUAGGUUUCUUGUUAUUGCUAAAUUUUUGUAUAAUUAUUAAUCAAGAGAAUCGAGAAGGUUGAUAGUGGAUUAGUGCUUUCUUUUUUGCCUUAAAUUUUGUAUAUGCUUAUCUUAAUGAGAAUGAGAAGAUUGAGUGUGAUAAGUGAUUUCUAUGUUUUGCUAAUAUUUCCGUAAUAUUUUUAUCAAGAAAUGUAGAAGAUUUGAUAGUUGUAUAGAUGCCUUCUGUGUGUGCUCUAAAUUUGUAUAUUGUUACAAGAGAGAGAACAAGAUUGAUAGUGUUAUGGUGGGGUAGUGUUCUUGUUUGCUAUAAUUUGGCUAUAUUGUUAUCAAGAAAUAGAAAUUUAGAGGUAUUAGUGUUCUCGUUUUUGCAAAUUUUGUAUAUUAUUAUCAGAAUGAGAAGGUUGAUAGUGUUAUUAGUGUUCGUGUUUUGCUAAAUUUUGUUAUUGUUAUCAAGAAAUGAGAGAAUUGAUAGUGUUAUUAGUGUGCUAUAUCAAGAAACGUUUGACGACUGACCCUUUAGCAAAAAUCUGCUCAAAAAGUUGAAAGGCCCAUUGAUAGGGAAUUCUCCAGUGGCAUUCUAUCACCCCAAAUCAAGGAUAUGAAGCAUCAAAGCAGAACCAAGUCUUAUGUAAGCUAUGACGCACUGUUCGUUUGAAAUUUAUUGAUGGUCUUCAAAGGCCACACAGACUGCUUCCUAUAUUCGUAGCACAUCUUUAGGACACCUCCUAUACGUGGAGUUAUUUUCUUUGUUCUUUUUUCUCCUUUAGCAUACUAAUAUGUAACGGUUAGCAAAGAAUAGAGAAAGAAUUGAUAGUGUUAUUAGUGUUCUUUCUGCCCUAAUUGUAAUGUGUUAGUCAGAAAUGAGAAGAUUGUAGUGUUAUAGUUGUUCUCUCUUGCUAAAUUGGUAUAUUUUAUCAGAAAUGAGAAGAUUUAUAGUGUAUCUCCUGCUCUUGUUGUGCUAAUUCUCGUAUAUUAUUAUCAUAGUAAAUGAGGAAGCGUUGAUAGUGUAUUAGUCGUUCUUGUUAUGGCAUAAAAUAUUUAUUCUCUUGUAUAUUGUAGUUCAAGAAAAUGAGAGAUUGAGUGGUUAAUAAUUGUUCUUGUUAUUGCUAAAUUUGGAUAUUGUUUCAAGAAAUGAGAAGAUUGAUAGUCGUUAUUAGUGUUCUUGUUUUGCUAAAUUUUGUAUAUUGUUUACCCAGAAGAGAGAGCAUGUUGAUAGUGUUAUUAGUGUGCCUUUGCUAUUGUAUAUUGGUAUCAAGAAAUGAGAAGAUUGUUAUAGUGUUAUUAGUGUUUCGUUUUUGCUAAAUUUGUAUGAUUAUUUAUCAAGAAAUGAGAGGUUAUGUAGUUUAUUAGAUGUUCUUGUUUUGCAAAUUUGUAUAUUGUAUCAAGAACAUGAGAAGGAUGGGAUAGUGUUAUUUAAGUGUUCUGAUUAUCAAGAAAACGUUUGACGCUUGACCCUUAGCAAAAUCCUCAAAAUAUGAAAGGCAUUUGGCCAGUCGGAAUCUCAUGGCUUCUAUUCAGUCAAAUAAGGAAUAUGGAAGAUUCAGCACACCUAAGUCUUGUCCAAGUCAUGAACGCACUGUGUCGUGUUGAAGUGAGGAGAUGGCUUCAGAAGCGCCACACACUGCUUCCUAUGAUUCGUACGCACAUCUGUGGACUCUAUUGGUACGUGAGUUAUUUCUUUGCUUCUUUUUUCUAGCAUACUAAUAUGUAUAUGUUUAUCAAGAAUGAGAAGAUGAUCAGUUGUUAUUAGUGUUCUUGUUUGCUAAAUUUUUGUAUAUUAGGUUAUCAAGAAAUGAGAAAGAUGAUAUGUAAAGAUGUUCUUGCUUUGCUAAGUUUUGUAUUUUUAUCAAGAAUGAAGACGAUUGAUAGUUGUGAUUAGUGUUCUUAUUUUGCCUCAACAUUUCGCUCCUCCUUGUUAACAGAAAAGGAUGAUUGAUGAGAUGUUAGAGUGUUCCUUGUUUUGCCUAAAUUUUGUAUAUCGUAUCAAUAAAUGAGGAAGAUUGAUAGUGUUUUAUUAGUGUUCUUGUUUGUGUAAAUUUUGUAUAUUGAUAUCAAAGAAAAUGGAGAAGAUGAUAGUGGUUAUUAGUUUCUUGUUUUGCCCUUAAUUUUGUAUAUUGUUAUCAAGAAAAUGAGAAGAAUUGAUAGUGUUAUUUGUGUUCUUGUUUUGCUAAAUUUUUAGUAUAUUGUUAUCAAAAAAUCAGAAGAUGAUAGUCGUUAUUAUGUUCUUGUUUGCUAAAUUUUGUAUAUUGUUAUCAAAGAAAAUAGAAGGUUGAUAUUAUUAGUUUUCUGUUUUGUUUAAUUUUGUAUAUUGUUUAUCAAGAAAUGAGAAGAUAAGAUUGAUAGUGUUAUUUGUGUUCUUGUUUUGCUAAAUUUUGUAUAUUGUUAUCAAGAAAUGAGAAGAUUAAUGGUGUUAUUAGUGUUCUUGUUUUGCUAAAUUUUAUAUAUUGUUAUCAAGAAAUAGGAAGUUUGAAAGUGUUAAUAGUUUUCUUGUUUUGCUAAAUAUUGUAUAUUGUUAUCAAGAAAUGAGAAGAUUGAUAGUGUUAUUAGUGUUCUUGUUUUGCUAAAUUAUGUAUAUUGUUAUCAAGAAAUGAGAAUAUUGAUAUUGUUAUUAGUGUUCUUGUUUUGAUAUAUUUUGUAUAUUGUUAUAAAGAAAUGAGAAGAUUGAUAGUGUUAUUAGUGUUCUUGUUUUGCUAAAUUUGGUAUAUUGUUAUCAAGAAAUGAGAAGAUUGGUAGUGUUAUUAGUGUUCUUGUUUUGCUAAAUUUUGUUUAUUGUUAUCAAAAAAUGAGAAGAUUGAUAGUGUUAUUAGUGUUCUUGUUUUGCUAAUAUUUGUAUAUUGUUGUCAAGAAAUUAGAAGAUUGAUAGUGUUAUUAGUGUUCUUGUUUUGCUAAAUUUUGUAUAUUGUUAUCAAGAAAUGAGAAGAUUGAUAGUGUUAUUAGUGUUCUUGUUUUUCUAAAUNNNNNNNNNNNNNNNNNNNNNNNNNNNNNNNNNNNNNNNNNNNNNNNNNNNNNNNNNNNNNNNNNNNNNNNNNNNNNNNNNNNNNNNNNNNNNNNNNNNNNNNNNNNNNNNNNNNNNNNNNNNNNNNNNNNNNNNNNNNNNNNNNNNNNNNNNNNNNNNNNNNNNNNNNNNNNNNNNNNNNNNNNNNNNNNNNNNNNNNNNNNNNNNNNNNNNNNNNNNNNNNNNNNNNNNNNNNNNNNNNNNNNNNNNNNNNNNNNNNNNNNNNNNNNNNNNNNNNNNNNNNNNNNNNNNNNNNNNNNNNNNNNNNNNNNNNNNNNNNNNNNNNNNNNNNNNNNNNNNNNNNNNNNNNNNNNNNNNNNNNNNNNNNNNNNNNNNNNNNNNNNNNNNNNNNNNNNNNNNNNNNNNNNNNNNNNNNNNNNNNNNNNNNNNNNNNNNNNNNNNNNNNNNNNNNNNNNNNNNNNNNNNNNNNNNNNNNNNNNNNNNNNNNNNNNNNNNNNNNNNNNNNNNNNNNNNNNNNNNNNNNNNNNNNNNNNNNNNNNNNNNNNNNNNNNNNNNNNNNNNNNNNNNNNNNNNNNNNNNNNNNNNNNNNNNNUGUUCUUGAGAUUUACCUGUAUAUUGUUAAUGAAGAAAUGAAGAAGAUUGAUUUAGUGUUAUUAGUGUCUUGUUUUGCUAAAUUUUGUAUAUUGUUAUCAAGAAUGAGAAGAUUGAUAGUGUUUAUUAGUGGUUCUUGUUUUGCUAAAUUUUGUAUAUUGUUAUCAAGAAAUGAGAAGAUUGAUAGUGUUUAUUAGUGUUCUUGUUUUGCUAAAUUUUGUAAUUUUGUUAUCAAGAAAAUGAGAAAGGUAGAUGUUAUUAAGUGUCUUGUUUUGGCUAAUUUUGUAUAUUGUUAUCUAAGAAAUGAGAAGAUUGAUAGUGUUAUUAGUGUUCUUGUUUUGCUAAAUUUGUAUAUUGUUAUCAAAGAAAUGAGAAAGAUUGAAUAGUGUUAUUAGUGUUCUUGUUUUGGCUAAUUUUGUAUAUUUGUUAUCAAGAAAUAGAAGAUUGAUAGUGUUAUUAGUGUUCUUUUUGCUAAAUUUUGUAUAUUGUUAUCAAGAAAUGAGAAGAUUGAUAGUGUUAUUAGUGUUCUUGUUUGCUAAAUUUUGUAUAUUGUUAUCAAGAAAUGAGAAAGAUUGAUAGUGUUAUUAGUGUUCUUGUUUUGCUAAAUUUUGUAUAUUGUUAUCAAGAAAUGAGAAGAUUGAUAUGUGUUAUUAGUGUUCUUGUUUUGCUAAAUUUUUGUAUAUUGUUAUCAAGAAAUAGAGAAGAUUGAUAGUGUUAUUAGUGUUCUGUUUUGCUAAAUUUUGUAUAUUGUUAUCAAGAAAUGAGAAGAUUGAUAGUGUUAUUAGUGUUCUUGUUUUGCUAAAUUUUGUAUAUUGUUAUCAAGAAAUUGAGAAAGAUUGAUAGUGUUAUUAGUGUUCUUGUUUUGCUAAUUUUUUGUAUAAAUUGUUAUCAGAGAAAUGAGAAGAUUGAAGUGUUACUAUAGUGUUCUUGUUAUCAAAACAUUAACAGCUGACAAUCCCUUUACCAAAUCUCCCAAAUGAAAGGCAUUGCGCAUGGGAAUUCUCCAUAGCUCUGUUAGUGCAGAAUAUGGGAUAAUGUGGUAUAGAUACACAAACUAGGACGGAUGUAGCCAUGACGCACUGUAUCGUUCGGGAAUUUAUGAUGGCUCUCAAAGGCCACACCGCCGCUGGCUUCCUAUAUCCCGUACGCACAUCUUAGGACGCGGGUAUUACGUGAUUUAUUUUUUUGCUCUUUAACCACUUACCUGUAUACUUGUUAUGAGAAAUGAAAGGAUUUAUAGUGUUAUUAGUGGUUCUGUAAAUUGCGCUAAAUUUGUAAUAAUGUCUAAAGAAAAUGAGAAGAAUCUGAUAGUUUAUUAGUGUUCUUGUUUGCUAAAUUUGGUAUAUGUGUCAGAAAUAAGGAAGAUUGAUAUGUUGUAGUGUUCUGUUUUGCUAAAUUGUAUAGUUAUCACAGAAAUGAGAAAGAUUGAUACUUAUUAUUUCUUUUUUGCCAAAUUGUAUAUUAUAAAAUGAGAAAUGAUGGUAUAUUAUUGUGUUGUUGUUUUGCUAAAUUUUGUACUAUCUAGUUAUCAUGAAAUUAGAGAUUAUAUAGGUCGUUGGAAUUGUAAUUUCUGUCUAUGUUAAUCUUUUGCUAAAUUGUAUAUUGUUAUCAAGAAAUGAAAAUGAUUUUAUUUUUUGUGUUCUAAUUUGGUUAUGGCUGAAAUAAGUGAUAUUAUUGUGUUGUCAAAAAUGAUAUCUGACAAUAAAUGAUAGAUUAAAUGUCUGUGUUUUGCUAAAUUUGUAUACAUGUUAUCCUAAAAAUGAGAACAUGGAUAAGUGUUACAUAGUGUUCUUACGUUUGUUGGAAAUUUGUAUAUUGUUAUCAGAAUGGAAGAAUUGAAUAGUGUUAUUAGUGUUCUUGUUUUGCCUAAUUUUUGUAUAUUUUACAAGAAAUGAGAAAUGAUAGUGUAUUAGUGUUCUUGUGGUUUGCUAAUUUGUCAUAAUGUUAAUCCAGAAAGAGAAAUCUGAUCAUGUAUAUAGUUCUUGUUUGGCUACAAAUUUGUUAUUAUUAUCAAGAAAAGAAUAGUUAUAGUUUCUUUGUUUUGCUAAAUUUGUAAUAUUUUGUCAAGAAAAUAAAAUUGAUAGUUAUUAGUGCUUGUUGCAAACUUUAUAAUUGUUAUCAAGAAUGCAAAAGAUCGGAUAGCUGUUAUAGUUUCUUGUGUUUGCUAAUAUUUGUAUAUUCUUUACAGGAAAUAGAAGAUAGAUAUGGUUAUAGUUCUUGUUUGCUAAAUUGUGCUAUAUGAUUAUCAAGAAAUGAAAAAAACUUGGAUAGUGUUAUAUAUGUUUCUGUUUUUGCUAAAUUUAAGUUAUUGUUACCAAGAAGAGAAGAUUUGAUAGUGUUAUUAGUCGUUCUGUUUUGCUAUUUGUAUGAUGGUUUGCAAGAAAUAGCAAGAUUGGAUAGUGUUAUAGUGUCUUCGUUUGCUAAAUUAGUCAUAUUGUUCAAAGAAAUGAGAAAUUGAAGUAUGUCGGUUCAAAUGUAUUUAUAAGAGAUGUUGUACCUGCUUUUGCUAAAUUGUUGUAUAAUUGUAUCAAUGAAAAAAGAUGAAAUGUUGAUUAGUGUCUCUUGUUUUGCUAAAUAUUGUAUAUUGUUAUCAAGAAAGAAGAGAUUGAUAUGUUGUUAGGUUCUUAGUUUUGCUAAUUUUGUUAUCAUGUUUAUAAAGAAAUGAGAAGAUUGAUAGUUUAUUAAGUGUUCUUGUUCGUAAAUUUGUAAUUUAUUUCAAGAAAUGAGAAAGUGAUAGUGUUAUUAGUGUUCUGUUUGCCUAAAUUUUGUAUAUUGUUAUCAAGUAAAAAUGAGAAGAUUGAUAUUAAUUAGUUUAUUGUUUGCUAAAUUUGUAUAUUGUUAUCAAGAAAUCAGAAGAUGAUUAGUGUUAUUAGUGAUCUUUGUUUCCCUAAAUUUUGUAAUAUCUUAUCAAGAAAUGAGAAAUGAAUGUUUAUAGUGUCUUGUUUGCUAAAUUUUAUAUAUUUUAUCAAGAAAUAGAAGAUGAAGUGUUAAUUAGUGUUCUUGUUUUGCUAAAUUUUGAUUAUAUUUGUCAAGAAAUGAGAAGAUUGAUAAAUGUUAUUAGUGUUCUUGUUUGCUAAAAUUUUGUAUAUUGUUAUCAAGAAAUGAGAAGAUGAUAGUGUAUAUAGUGUUUCUUUUGUUUUGCUAAAUUUUGUAUAUGUAUACAAAAAUUAGAAGAUCGAUAGUGUUAUUAGUGUUCCUUGUUUUGCUAAAUUUUGUAUAUUGUUAUCUCAAAGAAAUGAGAAGAUUGAUAGUGUUAUUAGUGUUCUUGUUUUGCUAAAUUUUGUAUAUUGUUAUCAAGAAAUGAAGAAGAUUGAUAGUGUUAUUAGUGUUCUUGUUUUGCUAAAUUUUGUAUAUUGUUAUCAAGAAAUGAGAAGAUUGAUAUGUUAUUAGUGUUUGUUUUUGCUAAAUUUGUAUAUUGUUAUCAAGAAAUAGAAGAUUGAUAGUGUUAUUAGUGUUCUUGUUUGCUAAAUUUUGUAUAUUGUUAUCAAGAAAUGAAGAGAUUGAUAGUGUUAUUAGUGUUCUUGUUUUGCUAAAAUUUUGUAUAUUGUUAUCAAGAAAUGAGAAGAUUGAUAGUGUUAUUAGUGUUCUUGUUUUGCUAAUUUUGUAUAUUGUUAUCAAAGAAAUGAGAAGAUUGAUAUGUUUUAGUGUCUUCGUUUUGCUAAAUUUUUGUAUAUUGUAUCAAAGAAAUGAGAAGAUUGAUAGUGUUAUUAGUGUUCUUGUUUGCUAAAUUUUGUAUAUUGUUAUCAAGAAAUGAGAAGAUGAUAGUGUUAUUAGUGUUUCUUGUUUUGCUAAAUUUUUGUAUAUUUUUAUCAAGAAAUGAGAGAUUGAUAGUGUUAUUAGUGUUUGUUUUGCUAAUUUGUAUAUUGUUAUCAGAAAUGAGAAGAUUGAUAGUGUUAUUUAGUGUUCUUGUUUUCCUAAAUUUUGUAUAUUUUAUCAAGAAAUGAGAAGAUUGAUAGUGUUAUUAGUGUUCUUGUUUGCUAAAUUUUAUAUUGUUAUCAAGAAAUGAGAAGAUUGAUAGUGUUAUUAGUGUUCUUGUUUUGCUAAAUUUUGUAUAUUGUUUUCAAGAAAUGAGAAGAUUGAUAGUGUUAUUAGUGUUCUUGUUUUGCUAAAUUUUGUAUUAUUGUUAUCAAGAAAAUGAGAGAUGAUAUGUAUUAGUGUUCUUGUUUUGCUAAAUUUGUAUAUUGUUAUCAAAGAAAUGAGAAGAUUGGAUAGUGUUAUUAGUGUUCUUGUUUUGCUAAAUUUUGUAUAUUGUUUCAAGAAAUGAGAAGAUUGAUAGUGUUAUUAGUGUUCUUGUUUUGCUAAAUUUUGUAUAUUGUUAUCAAAGAAAUGAGAAGAUUGAUAGUGUUAUAGUGUUCUUGUUUUGCUAAAUUUUGUAUAUUGUUAUCAAGAAAUGAGAAGAUUGAUAGUGUUAUUAGUGCUUGUUUUGCCUAAAUUUUGUAUAUUGUUAUCAAGAAAUGAGAAGAUUGAUAGUGUUAUUAGUGUUCUUGUUUUGCUAAAUUUUGUAUAUUGUUAUCAGAAAUGAGAAGAUUUGAUAGUGUUAUUAGUGUUCUUGUUUUGCUAAAUUUUAUAUUGUUAUCAAGAAAUGAGAAGAUUGAUAGUGUUAUUAGUGUUCUUGUUUUGCUAAAUUUGUAUAUUGUUAUCAAGAAAUGAGAAGAUUGAUAGUGUUAUUAGUGUUCUUGUUUUGCUAAAUUUUGUAUAUUGUUAUCAAGAAUGAGAAGAUUGAUAGUGUUAUUAGUGUUCUGUUUUGCUAAAUUUUGUAUAUUGUUAUCAAAGAAAUGAGAAGAUUGAUAGUGUUAUUAGUGUUCUUGUUUUGCUAAAAUUUAGUAUAUUGUGUAUCAAUAAGAAUGAGAAGAUUGAUAGUGUUAUGAUGUUCUUGUUUGCUAAAUUUUGUAUAUUGUUAUAGAAAUGAGAAGAUUGAUAGUGUAUUAGUGUUCUUGUUUUGCUAAAUUUUGUAUAUUGUUAUCAAGAAAUGAGAAGGUUGAUAGUGUUAUUAGUGUUCUUGUUUU